GCCGUUGUAGCUCAGUCGGUAGAGCACAUCCAUGGUAAGGAUGAGGUCACCAGUUCAAUCCUGGUCAACGGCUCCA
rnacentral:tRNA from 6 species